AGAAUGAACGCUGGCGGCGUGCCUUACACAUGCAAGUCGAGCGAGGCGGUUUGGGGGUAACUCCGGACCAGUCGAGCGGCGAACGGGUGAGUAACGCGUGGGUGACCUACCUCGAGGUGGGGGGAUAACCCGGGGAAACUCGGGCUAAUACCGCAUAACAUCUAUGGAUCAAAGGGGGCCGCAAGGCUUCCGCCAUGAGAGGGGCCCGCGUUCGAUUAGCUAGUUGGUAGGGUAAUGGCCUACCAAGGCGACGAUCGAUAGCCGGCCUGAGAGGGUGAUCGGCCACACUGGAACUGAGACACGGUCCAGACUCCUACGGGAGGCAGCAGUGGGGAAUUUGCGCAAUGGGCGAAAGCCUGACGCAGCAACGCGCGUGGAGGAUGAAGGUCCUUGGAUUGUAAACUCCUGUCCAGCAGGAAGAAAUCGUGCCGGUGAAGUACCCCGGUAGUUUGACUGUACCUGCAGAGAACGCCCCGGCUAACUCUGUGCCAGCAGCCGC
rnacentral:rRNA from 1 species